AUACGGAGGGGGCUAGCGUUGUUCAGAAUUACUGGGCGUAAAGCGCGCGGAGGCGGUCCGCGUAGUCAGGCGUGAAAGCCCCGGGCUCAACCCGGGAAUUGCGCUUGAUACUGGCAGGCUAGAGGCCGGGAGAGGGUAGUGGAAUUCCCAGUGUAGAGGUGAAAUUCGUAGAUAUUGGGAAGAACACCGGUGGCGAAGGCGGCUACCUGGACCGGUACUGACGCUGAGGUGCGAAAGCGUGGGGAGCAAACAGGAUUAGAUACCCCAGUAGUCC
rnacentral:rRNA from 1 species